UAAAAACGGCUGGGUUAUUUUUUAACCCAAAAUGCUGGGUUGAGUCUGUUGGGUCAUUUUGUUGGGUUAUUUAAUUUCUUUUUAAACACUUUUGGGUAGUUUCAAUUUACCAGGUGUUGGGUUAAACCUGCUGGGUUGCGUCGCUGGGUUGUUUCAGGCCAGCGCUGGGUUAUUUAACGCGCCUUGAAGAUGUUUAAAUCGCUCCCCAACUGUCACUUUGGAAGAACAACGGGGCAAAGCCACGGCUUUCUACUGUUUUAAGGUAAGUUUAUUUAAUGUUUUCAAUAAUAAUUAUUUUAAGUUGGCAGAAUUAUAACUUUUUUUUUGCAGCAACAAUACUGUUAAACGUCUACAGGCCAACAUUAUUUACGUUAAAUGAUGAACUGUUUACCUCAAACGGCCAACCUACGUUACGCGACUCGCAUAAUCGUGUUAAGGUAUCUGAGACGACAGAUUAAUAAAGUUUUAUUAAGUUUCAGACAGUGACUGAUGGCUGAAAUAUGCGAAUACCUGUGAAAAUAGAGGAAAAAGUAGUUUCUGACACUGAAAAGCGAAUUUGAUAUUUAAGUGAGUCAAAUGAGUUCAAAAAGUGAAUACGACUUUCUGCUCUAAUGUAAACGCCCGCAGUUGUCCAUAUCGACAUUUAAAUCAUACAAAUUACGUACAAUAUAGUCGGACCGCAGGUCUAAAAGAACCGACGACCCAGUUCAAGUAAACCGGUUCAGUAAUUCUCGAACAAAGUGAUUCCCGGAAAAGAAUCGACGUCUCAGGGCAUUUCAAAGUGCGCGCACGCACAGCGAGUGACGCUGGCCGCGUUAGUGAAGUGAUUUGAUGCUUUUGUGGUUUAUAAAGUCUUUUUACAUACAAAUUAUAAUUCAAAAUGUGUUUUUUUCCUGUCAGAAAAGCGCAUGGAUACAUUUGUGAGAGAAAAACUCGUCGAGUGCAGUCUUAUUGAGGCGUCUAACGGUUGGAACAAACAUGGAAUUCCUUAACUGAGCAGAGUCCACAAAACCCCAUCCAAUUGUCAUGGCGAUUUAAAAAUGUCAGCAGAUCUCUCAGGCAUUGAUCAUAAUCAAUGGACAGGUCACCGUAGCCACCCGUAUCCAGUACGUAUCCAGACCAGAUGGAGAUCAUCAUCUAGAAAGGACCUCUACAUCCCUGAAAGACAGCGGAGACCAGGACAACUAGAGCCCAGAUACAGAUCCCCUGUAAAGACCUUGUCUCAGAGGAGC